AGAGUUUGAUCAUGGCUCAGGAUGAACGCUGGCGGCGUGCUUAAUACAUGCAAGUCGAGCGACGAAAGCGCAAGGGGUAACCCUUGCGCCUGAAAGCGGCGAACGGGUGAGUAACACGUGGGCAACGUGCCCCGGACACCGGGAUAACAACGGGAAACCGUUGCUAAUACCGGAUAACCCCUGCGCUCCGCAUGGAAUGCAGGGCAAAGCUCCGGCGGUCUGGGAUCGGCCCGCGGCCUAUCAGCUUGUUGGUGGGGUAACGGCCCACCAAGGCGAUGACGGGUAGCUGACGUGAGAGCGUGACCAGCCACACUGGGACUGAGACACGGCCCAGACUCCUACGGGAGGCAGCAGUCGGGAAUCUUGCGCAAUGGGCGAAAGCCUGACGCAGCAACACCGUGUGGGCGACGAAGGCCUUCGGGUCGUAAAGCCCUGUUGUUGGGGACGAAGGGCGAAGGGUUAAUAGCCCCUAGCUUGACGGUACCCUUCGAGGAAGCCCCGGCUAACUACGUGCCAGCAGCCGCGGUAAUACAGAGGGUGCAAGCGUUGUCCGGAUUUAUUGGGCGUAAAGCGCGCGUAGGCGGCCGUCCACGUCGGAUGUGAAAGCUCGAAGCUCAACUUCGAGAUGCCAUUCGAUACGGGACGGCUAGAGGCAGGUAGGGGAGAUUGGAAUUCCUGGUGUAGCGGUGAAAUGCGCAGAUAUCAGGAGGAACACCGGUGGCGAAGGCGGAUCUCUGGGCCUGUCCUGACGCUGAGGCGCGAAAGCUGGGGGAGCGAACAGGAUUAGAUACCCCGGUAGUCC
rnacentral:rRNA from 1 species